GGGUCCGGACACACUGAGGAUUGACAGGCAAUUAUUGCUAACAGUGUCUUUUUUUUUAAAAGUACUGUUGCAACAACAAAUAUGCUAGUCCUUUCAUGAUUAUGUGAUAGGUGGUGCAUGGCCGUUCUUAGUUCGUGGAGUGAUCUGUCUGCUUAAUUGCGUUUCAUUAUGGACCAUGUUAUAACAUGUACUAUCUCUUGAUUUUCAAAUUUUCAUUUAUUUGAGAUUUGUUAUAAAGAAGGAGUUUUGGUGCAAUUGGUCCUGAAAGCAACGAACGUGACCGCAUCCUCUUGUUGCCUUUUUAACUUGGCAUUUUUUUUAAUUUAUUUUAACAUUUUUGUCAUAACAUAAGAGGCUUUCAGAAAACUAGAGGGACCGCUGCGACUUUUUUAAACCAGAGGAAGGUUGCGGCAAUAACAGGUCUGUGAUGCCCUUAGAUGUUCCGGGCUGCACACGUGCUACAAUGAUUAUUGCAGUGAGCAUCUCAUUUUAUUUUUUGUGCUUGUCUUGUCUGCGAGUUUAUUCUCAACGACGACAGCCUUAGCCUGCUUCGAAAGUUCGCAGGU
rnacentral:rRNA from 1 species